UAGUCUGUUUAUUAGUUCCCUGUUAAUCUUUGGAAACUUAGCAGCUGCCUGAGACAAACCGGCCACUCCCCCCAGCAUGGCUACUUAAUAUGCAGGAGAAUGACGUCA